rnacentral:rRNA from 1 species
GACGAACGCUGGCGGCGUGCUUAACACAUGCAAGUCGAACGGUGAAAGCGGAGCUUGCUCCGCUGGAUCAGUGGCGAACGGGUGAGUAACACGUGGGCAACCUGCCCCUCACUUCGGGAUAACUCCGGGAAACCGGGGCUAAUACCGGAUAUGACCUCCUUGGGCAUCCUUGGAGGUGGAAAGUUUUUCGGUGAGGGAUGGGCCCGCGGCCUAUCAGCUUGUUGGUGAGGUAGUGGCCCACCAAGGCGACGACGGGUAGCCGGCCUGAGAGGGGGACCGGCCACACUGGGACUGAGACACGGCCCAGACUCCUACGGGAGGCAGCAGUGGGGAAUAUUGCACAAUGGGCGCAAGCCUGAUGCAGCGACGCCGCGUGAGGGAUGACGGCCUUCGGGUUGUAAACCUCUUUCAGCACCGACGAAGCGCAAGUGACGGUAGGUGCAGAAGAAGGACCGGCCAACUACGUGCCAGCAGCCGCAGUAA